UGGUGGUUUUGCUUUCCAGAUGCACUGCACUCUCUUCGUCUAACUCUUGAUGCUAUAUUUUUUCUUCUAUGUUGUGGCUCUUUGCUAAUUGUUCAUUCAUAAAAAGGUCCAAAAUACCGUGUCUGUCGGAAAUGAAAUGUGUUCUUUGCACCUGCCGGCUAGGGGUGGGGUACAGACCUAACGUUUAGAAAUCCGUGGUAUGAUUGAAUCCAUUUAUAACUAGGGUUAUGUUUCUGUACGCUUUCUCUGUGAUAUGGGGUCAUGCGCAGCAGAGAGCCCCGCAUUUUGUUUAGGGAGCACAGAGCAAGCUGAACUUUCUGUUCAUUAAAGGAUGAGCCAGACCUGGGCCCUAGUCAUCCAGAUGUCCUGUGGGAAGGGUCGGUGCUCUGGGCCCAACUGUGCUGGAAUCCCGUAAUGCUGCAUUACCCUCAGGAGGAGCCGGCUGUGUUUCGGAGAACCUGGUCACGCGGUGGGCUCUGCUGGAGCUGGGCUAGGCUUUGUUGCCGCUGCCAGAUGAACUCAAGACCAGUACAAAGGAGCUGUUCUACCAGAAAGCCCCGCUCAGGACGUGUCCUGACCCUGUGGGACCUGUGGCUGCAGACCUCUGGAACACAAGCCAAGCUCGCAUGCUCCACUGGAUGAGACUGGCGGUUCUGGCUGGGAAGCGUGGAAGGGUGGUGUCUGGGGACAGACUCUAGAGGGCUUCCUUAUAACUGGAGCCCUUCUGGAGCUAUGGGAACCAACAUGAAGGGACCAGGAGACAGACGUCCAUAAUGAGUUCCUGCUGGGGUUUGUAAUGUACAAUGCAGAACCCACCUUGGCCUUAUCGGUCUUCUUCGUUUAUUCAUGAAUGUCAAAUGUCCAAAAAUGUGGCGCUUUAAUACUAUAUACACUUUGUGGAAAUGCCUGUAAUUGUGUUAUUGCUAAUGGAGUAUAUUACAUUUGACGUCUCUGUAUCCGUCAUCCCUUAAUUUCCACCAAUCUUAGUCACUUCCCUUGUUGCUGGGACAAAUACCCAACACCCAGAACUUGGAGGAGAGGUUUAUUUUGGCUCAAAGUUAACAGUGUAGGGCCAGCUGACUCCAAGAUGCAAAAACCUGAUGGGAGGGCCUGAGCAGAGGAAGGCUUUCCACAUCAGGGUGGCCAGAAAGUAUACUGAGAAGCAAAGCAGAAAUAUGUAACCUACCCAGAGCAUUCUCUGGUUACCCAGGUCCUCUGACAGGCCCCACCUCCAACAGCAGCAGCUCAGCUACCAUCCCCUAUCACCUUCCAAAAGACCCAUCUGUGAGCACACGAUCUAAAUCACAACUCUGCGCAAUGCACCUUGUCAGACUUGUAGUUUGCUCCAAAUUUUACCUAUUUGCCUUCCCCCUGUACUGGGAAGACUCACAGGCUUCACACUGAGCCUCAGCCAUAGCCCUUAUUUAUUUGGUCUUUUUUCAUUUUUAUCGGUACUGGGGAUCGAACUCACGACUGCCCGCUUGCAAGGCAGGUGCUUAUGCUGCUGAGCUAAACCCCCAGUGCCCCCUUUUUUAUUUUUAAAUAGGGCCUCCUUAAAUCAUUAAAUUGCCCAGGUUGGGCUUACAUUUGUAAUCCUCCUGCAUCAGACUCACCGCUGGGGUUACAGGUGUGUGCCAUCAUACCCACUACCCCAGUAUUUCCCCAAUAUCCCUUCAAAAUGGACUUUGUGCAUUAUAGAUUCUGAGGCACAGCAUCUCCCUCCACCAGAAACUCCUUAAUGGCAUCUUUUACAGUAUCAGUUUCUCACUACCAGUCCAAUAGUACGGUCCCCUAAUAGCACAUCUGUCAUCACUGGACUACCUACUUCUCUGCAGUACGCAGCCCUAACUUCUGGCCCAGAGUAAACUCUGAAAGUCCAAACAAGCUUUGAAAUUUGCUCUAUGGUUCACCUAGCCUAGACUAUUUUUUUCUUUUCAUUUUUUAAAUUUAUUUUUUAUUUAUUUUUGCCUACACUAUUUCUAAGCUGUUUACAAUAAUAGGGCUUUGUCAUUUCCAAAUGCUCACCCCCCAUAA